ACUCCUACGGGAGGCAGCAGUGGGGAAUAUUGGACAAUGGGCGCAAGCCUGAUCCAGCAAUACCGCGUGUGUGAAGAAGGCCUUCGGGUUGUAAAGCACUUUCAAUAGGGAGGAAGGCUUAAUGGUUAAUACCCAUUGAGAUUGACGUUACCUAAGAGAAGAAGCACCGGGCUAACUCC
rnacentral:rRNA from 1 species